rnacentral:snRNA from 1 species
GUACUUACUUCAGCAGCAUAUAUACUAAAAUUAUAACAAUACAGAGAUUAGCCAAUGCAUAAGAACAACAUGCAAAUUUGUGAAUCAUUCCAUAUUUUU